CCUUAUUGCAUGCACAAAAACAUUCCUGUUCAGCACACACUGUCCAAAAUUUGGAGAAAAUGUUUGCACCAAUUUUUGCCCAUACCAUGAGCACAAUAGCUUUCAAGUAGAGAGGAUGAAAGAUCAAGAUAGUUAGAGAUUAAGACAUCAAGAUGGAUCAAGCAAAGAUUGGAUCUUAGCAGAUGAAUGCAUCAGCCACCUCAAUCUUUUUACUAAAGCACAACAUUUACUGUUUUGACAUUUGAAAUUACAUACCGAGGCCACUUGUUCAAAGAUGCUAAUAGAGUGAAAGCAAUAAACAAAAGACGUAGGAAUCCAAAGGCCGGUUAAAAAAAUAAAUACAAGAUCUAUUGGACUAAGCCAAACACACAUACGUGCAUAAGUAAACUUCCGAAAUUUUGUAGUAAAUUGGCAUCUACAAGAUGUAAUUGAUUAAUCUACAGGACAGAUUGUCAAAUGAUUGCGCAUAUACACAAGUCUAUACACAAAACACAAACAAAGAUUAUGAAGUAAUUUGUCAAUACACAAACAUCGGAUACAGCUACUUACAAGAGUUAACAUUUCUUGAAGAUAGCUUCUAAAUGGUGUCUGCAUAGCCUGUGAUAGAAAAUAGAUGAAAUAUAUUACUUGUUAUUCAGCACAUCCAAAGAGAUUGACAUGUCAACCAAGCAUAUGGAUAAGCAUCAAACUAGGAAGAUGUGGCAACCAGAUUACUACAAAAACCAACUCUGGGUGAUUUGAUUGAUACCAGAAUAGUAUGAGAUAUAUUGAAAAAUGGUGACUCCAAGCCAAGAAUAGUCAGGCGAGAACCAACUUACAAUGUAACAGCAGAUUAGGUUAUCAUGAGACCCUGGUAACAUAAAUCACAAAAAAGAGAAGAACAAAGAUGAAAGAAAAUCAAUCAAACGAUUGUUGAGUUCGAGCAUAUUAUGAUGGAGAUCUCAUUGAAGAAAUGCCAACAUAAGCACUUAUUAUAGGCAUAAGAAUAAAACACAAAAAUUCUAAUUUAUUGUCUUAACAUAAUUAUUAGGAAAUAUAUAUAUAUAUAUA
rnacentral:lncRNA from 1 species